rnacentral:rRNA from 1 species
UACGUAGGCAGCAAGCGUUGUUCGGAAUUACUGGGCGUAAAGAGUGUGUAGGCGGUGUUCUAAGUUUGUCGUGAAAUCUCCCGGCUUAACUGGGAGGGUGCGGCGAAAACUGGAAUGCUAGAGGAUGGGAGAGGUAAGCGGAAUUCCUGGUGUAGCGGUGAAAUGCGUAGAUAUCGGGAGGAACACCGGUGGCGAAGGCGGCGACCUGGGUAGAUACUGACGCUGAGGUGCGAAAGCGUGGGGAGCAAACAGG